AACGAACGCUGGCGGCAGGCUUAACACAUGCAAGUCGAACGCAUCCUUCGGGGUGAGUGGCAGACGGGUGAGUAACGCGUGGGAACGUGCCCUUCAGUUCGGGAUAACCCAGGGAAACUUGGGCUAAUACCGGAUACGUGCGAGAGCAGAAAGAUUUAUCGCUGAAGGAACGACCCGCGUCUGAUUAGGUAGUUGGUGGGGUAAUGGCCCACCAAGGCGACGAUCAGUAGCUGGUCUGAGAGGAUGAUCCGCCACAUUGGGACUGGGACACGGCCCAAACUCCUACGGAAGGCAGCAGUGGGGAAUAUUGGACAAUGGGCGCAAGCCUGAUCCAGCCAUGCCGCGUGAGUGAUGAAGGCCUUAGGGUUGUAAGGCUCUUUCGUCCGGGACGAUAAUGACGGUACCGGAAGAAGAAGCCCCGGCUAACUCCGUGCCAGCCGCCGCAGUAA
rnacentral:rRNA from 1 species